rnacentral:rRNA from 1 species
AGAGUUUGAUCAUGGCUCAGAUUGAACGCUGGCGGCAGGCCUAACACAUGCAAGUCGAGCGGUAGCACAGAGAGCUUGCUCUCGGGUGACGAGCGGCGGACGGGUGAGUAAUGUCUGGGAAACUGCCUGAUGGAGGGGGAUAACUACUGGAAACGGUAGCUAAUACCGCAUAACGUCGCAAGACCAAAGUGGGGGACCUUCGGGCCUCAUGCCAUCAGAUGUGCCCAGAUGGGAUUAGCUAGUAGGUGGGGUAACGGCUCACCUAGGCGACGAUCCCUAGCUGGUCUGAGAGGAUGACCAGCCACACUGGAACUGAGACACGGUCCAGACUCCUACGGGAGGCAGCAGUGGGGAAUAUUGCACAAUGGGCGCAAGCCUGAUGCAGCCAUGCCGCGUGUGUGAAGAAGGCCUUCGGGUUGUAAAGCACUUUCAGCGGGGAGGAAGGCGUUAAGGUUAAUAACCUUGGCGAUUGACGUUACCCGCAGAAGAAGCACCGGCUAACUCCGUGCCAGCAGCCGCGGUAAUACGGAGGGUGCAAGCGUUAAUCGGAAUUACUGGGCGUAAAGCGCACGCAGGCGGUCUGUCAAGUCGGAUGUGAAAUCCCCGGGCUCAACCUGGGAACUGCAUUCGAAACUGGCAGGCUAGAGUCUUGUAGAGGGGGGUAGAAUUCCAGGUGUAGCGGUGAAAUGCGUAGAGAUCUGGAGGAAUACCGGUGGCGAAGGCGGCCCCCCUGGACAAAGACUGACGCUCAGGUGCGAAAGCGUGGGGAGCAAACAGGAUUAGAUACCCUGGUAGUCCACGCCGUAAACGAUGUCGAUUUGGAGGUUGUGCCCUUGAGGCGUGGCUUCCGGAGCUAACGCGUUAAAUCGACCGCCUGGGGAGUACGGCCGCAAGGUUAAAACUCAAAUGAAUUGACGGGGGCCCGCACAAGCGGUGGAGCAUGUGGUUUAAUUCGAUGCAACGCGAAGAACCUUACCUGGUCUUGACAUCCACAGAACUUUCCAGAGAUGGAUUGGUGCCUUCGGGAACUGUGAGACAGGUGCUGCAUGGCUGUCGUCAGCUCGUGUUGUGAAAUGUUGGGUUAAGUCCCGCAACGAGCGCAACCCUUAUCCUUUGUUGCCAGCGGUUAGGCCGGGAACUCAAAGGAGACUGCCAGUGAUAAACUGGAGGAAGGUGGGGAUGACGUCAAGUCAUCAUGGCCCUUACGACCAGGGCUACACACGUGCUACAAUGGCAUAUACAAAGAGAAGCGACCUCGCGAGAGCAAGCGGACCUCAUAAAGUAUGUCGUAGUCCGGAUUGGAGUCUGCAACUCGACUCCAUGAAGUCGGAAUCGCUAGUAAUCGUAGAUCAGAAUGCUACGGUGAAUACGUUCCCGGGCCUUGUACACACCGCCCGUCACACCAUGGGAGUGGGUUGCAAAAGAAGUAGGUAGCUUAACCUUCGGGAGGGCGCUUACCACUUUGUGAUUCAUGACUGGGGUGAAGUCGUAACAAGGUAACCGUAGGGGAACCUGCGGUUGGAUCACCU